rnacentral:rRNA from 1 species
AGAGUUUGAUCCUGGCUCAGCGCGAACGCUGUCGGCGUGCCUAACACAUGCAAGUCGAGGGGCAGCAGGCGGGUACCUUAUGGUACCCGUGCUGGCGACCGGCGAACGGGUGAGUAACGCGUGAGCAACCUACCCCGAGGAGGGGGAUAACCCGGGGAAACCCGGGCUAAUACCCCAUAAGCGCACGGUCUGCAUGGGCUGUGUGAAAAGGUGGCCUCUGGGCAAAGCCCAAGCUGCCGCCUCGGGAUGGGCUCGCGUCCCAUCAGGUAGUUGGUGAGGUAACGGCUCACCAAGCCUACGACGGGUAGCUGGUCUGAGAGGAUGGCCAGCCACACCGGGACUGAGACACGGCCCGGACUCCUACGGGAGGCAGCAGUGGGGAAUCUUGGGCAAUGGCCGAAAGGCUGACCCAGCGACGCCGAGUGGAGGAAGAAGCCCUUCGGGGUGUAAACUCCUGUCGCCGGGGACGAGGCGGGAGCGGGUUAAGAGCCUGCUCCCGUGACGGUACCCGGAGAGGAAGGGACGGCUAACUACGUGCCAGCAGCCGCGGUAAUACGUAGGUCCCGAGCGUUGCGCGAAAUUACUGGGCGUAAAGAGCGCGUAGGCGGGCCAG